AGCGCGGAAGCUUUGUUGGUAAAGUACUCGUCUAGCAUACAAGUGUCGUGGGUUCGAAUCCCACCUGAGCAC
rfam:Aedes aegypti strain Liverpool supercont1.15 genomic scaffold, whole genome shotgun sequence.